AUUGUUCCAAGAGUGUCUUGGACGAAAGCAGGAAGUGGAACCUUGUUAGGGUUGGAACGAACUGCCUUAAGGAAGUCGAUGCUCCAGGUCCGUCCAGGAGGACGACUCAGCUAGGAGUUAGAGGUUUAUCUUUGAACACACGAGCUAGCCAUGUGAUCAAAACAUGUUAUUACUUUGCUGUAAAUAUGAUAGUUUAGUUUAGUGGUUAUGAUAGUUUGGUCGAUUUGAACGAAUAUUAAA
rnacentral:precursor_RNA from 1 species